rnacentral:rRNA from 1 species
GAACGCUGGCGGCGUGCUUAACACAUGCAAGUCGAACGGUGAAAGAGGAGCUUGCUCCUCCGGAUCAGUGGCGAACGGGUGAGUAACACGUGAGCAAUCUGCCCCGGACUCUGGGAUAAGCGUUGGAAACGACGUCUAAUACCGGAUACGACGCGCGAAGGCAUCUUCUGCGCGUGGAAAGAACUUCGGUUCGGGAUGAGCUCGCGGCCUAUCAGCUAGUUGGUGAGGUAACGGCCCACCAAGGCGACGACGGGUAGCCGGCCUGAGAGGGUGACCGGCCACACUGGGACUGAGACACGGCCCAGACUCCUACGGGAGGCAGCAGUGGGGAAUAUUGCACAAUGGGCGCAAGCCUGAUGCAGCAACGCCGCGUGAGGGACGACGGCCUUCGGGUUGUAAACCUCUUUUAGUAGGGAAGAAGCGAAAGUGACGGUACCUGCAGAAAAAGCUCCGGCUAACUACGUGCCAGCAGCCGCGGUAAUACGUAGGGGGCAAGCGUUGUCCGGAAUUAUUGGGCGUAAAGAGCUCGUAGGCGGUCUGUCGCGUCUGCUGUGAAAACCCGAGGCUCAACCUCGGGCCUGCAGUGGGUACGGGCAGACUAGAGUGCGGUAGGGGAGAUUGGAACUCCUGGUGUAGCGGUGGAAUGCGCAGAUAUCAGGAAGAACACCGAUGGCGAAGGCAGAUCUCUGGGCCGUUACUGACGCUGAGGAGCGAAAGCGUGGGGAGCGAACAGGAUUAGAUACCCUGGUAGUCCACGCCGUAAA